rnacentral:lncRNA from 1 species
AGGUGGAAAAUGUCUCAUCUGAAUAGACAGAGCACAGAAUAAACAGAUUCAGGGAGGACUAUCAGAUAUGGUCAACAUUAAGAAAAUAUUAAAAAUGGAGUUGAGCAGAGGUUACAGAAAAUAUACAGAUACGAGUUGAACUGGAAAUAUGUGGCCAUGUUGUUUAUUUCUUUGAAAGAAGAGUUUAAUUGUCAUAUACUAGGU